rnacentral:rRNA from 1 species
ACGAACGCUGGCGGCUGCUUAACACAUGCAAGUCGAACGGAGGGGCGAACGGGUGAGUAACGCGUGAGCAACCUGCCUAUGACAGUGGGAUAGCCUCGGGAAACCGGGAUUAAUACCGCAUAGUCAUAGUUGGGCUCGCGUCUGAUUAGCUAGUUGGUGAGAUAACAGCCCACCAAGGCGACGAUCAGCAGCCGGUCUGUGAGGAGGGACGGCCACAUUGGAACUGAGCCACGGUGCAAACUCCUACGGGAGGGAGCAGUGGGGAAUAUUGCACAAUGGGGGAAACCCUGAUGCAGCGACGCCUCGUGAACGAAGUAGGUAUUCGGAUCGUAAAGUUCGUUCCUAUGGGAAGCAGUACCAUAGAAGAAAGCUCCGGCUAAAUACGUGCCAGCAGCCGCGGUAAUUC